UAAAGAUUCAUCGCUGAUAGAUAGGCAUGCGUUCCAUUAGGCAGUUGGCGGGGUAACGGCCCACCAAACCGACGAUGGAUAGGGGUUCUGAGAGGAAGGUCCCCCACAUUGGUACUGAGACACGGACCAAACUCCUACGGGAGGCAGCAGUGAGGAAUAUUGGUCAAUGGGCGUAAGCCUGAACCAGCCAAGUCGCGUGAGGGAUGAAGGUUCUAUGGAUCGUAAACCUCUUUUAUAAGGGAAUAAAGUGUGGGACGUGUCCUGUUUUGUAUGUACCUUAUGAAUAAGGAUCGGCUAACUCCGUGCCAGCAGCCGCGGUAAUACGGAGGAUCCGAGCGUUAUCCGGAUUUAUUGGGUUUAAAGGGUGCGUAGGCGGCCUUUUAAGUCAGCGGUGAAAGUCUGUGGCUCAACCAUAGAAUUGCCGUUGAAACUGGGAGGCUUGAGUAUGUUUGAGGCAGGCGGAAUGCGUGGUGUAGCGGUGAAAUGCUUAGAUAUCACGCAGAGCCCCGAUUGCGAAGGCAGCCUGCCAAGCCAUGACUGACGCUGAUGCACGAAAGCGUGGGGAUCAAACAGGAUUAGAUACCCUGGUAGUCCACGCAGUAAACGAUGAUCACUAGCUGUUUGCGAUACAGUGUAA
rnacentral:rRNA from 1 species